AAGACCUCACGUUAUUGGAGUGGCCUACGGCUGAUUAGCUAGUUGGUGAGGUAAAGGCUCACCAAGGCGACGAUCCGUAGCUGGUCUGAGAGGAUGAUCAGCCACACUGGGACUGAGACACGGCCCAGACUCCUACGGGAGGCAGCAGUGGGGAAUUUUGGACAAUGGGGGCAACCCUGAUCCAGCCAUGCCGCGUGAGUGAAGAAGGCCUUCGGGUUGUAAAGCUCUUUCGGCCGGAACGAAAUCGCAUCUUCUAAUACGGGGUGUGGAUGACGGUACCGGAAGAAGAAGCACCGGCUAACUACGUGCCAGCAGCCGCGGUAAUACGUAGGGUGCGAGCGUUAAUCGGAAUUACUGGGCGUAAAGCGUGCGCAGGCGGUUUUGUAAGUCAGAUGUGAAAGCCCCGGGCUCAACCUGGGAAUU
rnacentral:rRNA from 1 species